ACUUCACCAGAAGCGUUCGCAUUGCAGAAAGAAGGAGGUGAACAAUCGUCGAGGGGCUGAAAGAAGGCCUAAGGUGCGAGUAUAAAAGACAUGGCGGUACUGGUUCAACUCUUCGCUCAAGGUUGCAAACCAAGUCUUGAGGAAAGCAGAGGUCACCAUCAAAUUUCCAGCUGACACUGAAUUUCCAGGCACAACUGAGCACUGAUGAACCCGUGAGGUGGUGGUUGGCCGCAGAAAUUAAGCCUUGUUUGCAAGCUUUCACCAAUGUCACAUUCAUCAUUUUGACUGUCCUGAUUUUAUCAGUGGAAUCAAAAAUUUGUUCUUCCUGGUGAACAUUUCUCUUCAAGUCAUUUUGUUGUGGAAACAGAAAUAUUUACACAAUGAGGAUGAUAGAUGAUUGGAUGACAAAAUAAGUGCUUUUUAAACUCUCAUUAUACAUCUUAUUGGCAUUGGCUUUCUCAUUGUGAGCUGCAGGCUGCAGUUACCAGCCCUGUUGCUCUCUCCGUCCCAGCAGAUGCAGGAGCUGUGCUGGCAAGGCGAGGGGAUGUCAGUGCCUGAUGCCAUGCAGGGAAGUGAAGCAGCUUCACCUAGGACUGACAGCAGCCCUGCUCUGCUUACAGCUUUACUGUCAGAGGCAUUCUGCUUCAUAGCAAAAAUAUAUAUAUAUAUCUGCAGCCAGGACAAAAAUAUCUGUGAGGGCCGUGUGUAUCCCACAUCCGCCCACCAAUCUGGUUUGCCAGCCUGCCCCCAAACAGCUGUGUCAGCACAAGUGGGGAGGGAGAGGGAGGGAAGCCUGCAGCGGCGACCGCUUAAACCAGCCUUGCCAGAGAGAAGAGUGUGUGAAAGUGCAGGAAAUGGUACCAGAAGAUGUCUAGUCAUGGAUCCCGCAAGAGGCAGAAGCACCCUCUGCAAAUGUGCAGACAACAGCGGAUGAGGUGGUUGGCGGGGUGAGCACCAGCGCUUCCACUGAGCAGGACUUGGACAAUGUCAGGCAGACAGAAGCAUCCUGGAGCUGAGCAGAGACGCGGGAAGCACCGCACUGCGUUGGAGUGGCCCCAUGUGCCAGUUCAGGCUGGGAUGCAGCUGCCUGAGGAGCAGCCCUGUGGAGAAGGACCCACGGAUUACCUUGAAAGCAGUAAGGUUACCUUCAGUGGCAGACAACAGUUCUACUGGGAAGUGCAGCACUGGGACGGGUGACCAGACAGGCUGUGGGAUCGCCAUUCAUGGAGGUAUUCAAGACUCAACCGGGCAGAGCCACCAUGGGCUCAACCCAGUGCAGACUUCAGCCUUGUUUCGAGGUUCAGGUUGGGCUAGAGACACAGAGAGGUCCCUUCCCACCAACAUUUCAACAAGUCUGUGGAACCCAGCCUCAAGGGAUACUGUGCUCCAGGCAGGUUUCACUGCGCGUGCCUUGCCACCUCAUUCCCACUGAAGGCAAUAUCCAGGUUCAGCACACCGGUCAUGGCCAGGCACGUGGGCUCUCCACAGCUUCCCAGCUUUUGAAGAGAUUCAUAUAGUAAAAGGCCUACAAGCUGCUCUAUGGCAUGUGCUUUCCUGCCCCAUUGAGACUUCUAAGCAAAAAACAUCUGAAAAGUGGUUAUUUUUAACUCUGGAAGAAAGGCAUUAUUAUAAUUUCAACCUGGCAAAGCAACAGCAACAAGCAGGCACAUCCUCUCCAAAGUAAACUCCUCAGAUGUGAAAUGGUUCCAGGACAAUAAUUAGACACAGUCGAGCGUGUAGAAGGAUCCGAAAUGCUCCACCCCAGGGCAUGGAUCUGUUGUAGGACAGCACUAAGCCUGGAAAAGUACAUCACAGAGCCUUUCAUCCCCCUGAAACACUUUACAGUUUCAGCUCCUUGAAAGGAAAACAUUAAGACCCUCCAUGUACUUAAAAUGUCCUCUGAGGGGCUACUGAAAGACACUUUGUGCCGCAGCAGAAUCAUAUUUCUUGUGACCACUGGUCCUUCAUAAAUGCUGUAACCUGUAAAAUCUCGAAAUACGAGAAAACAAUGAGCAUCAUUAUUAUUAUUAUAUUUGGUCUUCGCUUCAAAGCGCGCUUCCAUUAAAUGAGGUUUUCCAUACAGAAAUACUCUAAUUAGAUGGUUCAUGAAACAAAUUUAUAACCAGGAAGAUAAACUAGAAGAGGAAGUGUGGUUUUCACAUCUCACCUACGUGCAGUCUGACUGUAAUUAUUCCCAGCUGGUGUAUCCGCACACGAGAGCAGUUUUGCAAUGACAGUCAUUUGUACAGUUACUCUAAUAACAGGUUAUUCCCUUAUUUUUCGUGGACUCAAUUUAAGACUCUUACUUCGUUUGCACAAUGAUUUUUAAGUCCAAGCAAUGGCACCUGCUGAGUCCCUGCAAGGGAAGGAGUGGUGAGGUGAGGAAAGCCUGAGCUCCACUCACUCACAGCACAUCUGCUUCCUCAAUAUUCCUUUCUCGUUCCGGUAUCCCAGAUACCUGCCUGCUCAAGGUGUCAGCUCUCAUCUCUGCAAACGCCAUGGGGAAAGUUAAUACACCUGUAUGAAGUUCGUGUGAUAUUGCGCGGUGUGGAUCUUGACUGUGCAAUAACCCUGAUGAGAUCAGCAGAAAUUAGCUUGACUGAGACGCAACAAAUUUUACUUGUUCCCACAGAACCUGGGGCAGGCGUGCUCGUGGGUUAAGAAGCGGUUAUUUCCAAAUCAGUUAAGAUAAAUCAGCACCGAUUCCAGACACUUUAACAUACAGAUCACCUGAUCGCUGAGGUUCCCCGCUGGUGUUCAUAAGGACUUCCAGGAGCGGGGUGGGACGGCAGUUUGAGGGCACGAACCUCAGUGAGUACCUUCAGAUAAGAUGAUGCAAGCAAUCCAAGCUCAGAACUGCCCUAAACCAAGGCUCGCUAUUUGUUGUUAUAGUGAAAAACCCAGCCUCGCUCCCUAGCCCUCCCCGGGACCAGCACUCCAGCUUUUCCCAUGGCGUAGUUAGGCAAGGGCAGCUCCGAUGCGCAGUGUUCAGUACUGAUAACUCCAUUGUGGCACACUGAGGGCAUAACCAAGGCAGGGUGUGCCAAACAGAAACCACUGACUUUGGAAGGAUUUGAGCUCGAGUGCACUCUUAUUUCAUAGCAAAGGCAAGCCCCGGGCUUUCAGAGGAUGUUUUCCUGUGUUCUGCAUUAAUCAAUGAGCGUCAAUUAACAAAAGUUUAGGUUGAGCUCGAGGAAGGAAAGGCAAAAAUAAUUGUGUCCUGAGACAGACAUCCCCUCAGCUUCUCAAGUCCCUAUUAACCACCUCAGAUGAAUUGGCAAUCAAUUAACUGAGAUUAAAAAGAGGGACAUCUAACGCACAAACCAUCUACUUCACUCCCAUCCUCGAGCAGAAGUGACUACCCAACCUCCUAUGUGUAUAUUCUUAUAAAUGUAACAUUACUUGGUCCAUAAAACAAUUCUGGUGGUUCAUUGCAGGACACGGACUCCUCUGACACUGAAACACACCAUGGACUUGUUCCAGGCUGUCCCUGACCAGGAAACGGAGUAAGCCACUUCUUAGAUGUCUGUUUAUAUGGCAUCAGCUGCAUGAUCACAGCAAAGUCCAUUCAGGUGUGCUAUAGGUUCAGAUUGCCCACUGUAAAAGAAAUGCGCAGUCCUGAAGACAGGUUAUCAUAGGUGGAGUAAAUAAUGAGAGACGUGAAAAAAUACUGGUGUGAAAUGGGAGGAUAAGCUUGUCUCACCUGGCUUUAGAGAGACAUACAGCUUGUAAACAUCUAUUUAGACUAGGGUGCUGCAUCCUGGACUCCCUGCACUGUGCUACUGAGAUCCCACUGUCUAUAAACACUAGAGAUCAUCAGAUCAGUCCUUCCAAACAUCUGCUUUCAUUUAUCAAAACAAGGUUAAGAUGCUUGAUGUUAGUUUAUAAACGUCUCUUGGGGAAGGGACUCCCUGUAACACAAACAGAAGAGGCGGUGGCACUGAGCUGGGAGCUGGCCCCAGCCUGCAGGCAGUCCCGUCCAGAACACCUGGUGUGAGCAGCAGCUAUCAUGAAGAUUAUUACGUGAGAGAAUGCCGUCAUCUUUCUCAUGAAUAAAUAAAACAAACCCCAAGUGGCAGUACAUAUUUGGCAGUGUCGAGGAGUCAGAUUUAUAUCCAGUUUUCAUAGCUGCACUUCAGUGUUCUCCACAUAUUUGGAGUGCCCAACGUUUUGGUUGUGUCUUUGUCACCUGUGCUUUUUUCCUUCAGAUACUCAAAUUAGAUGAUUUCUAAGCCCGGGCUUCAAUUAUCUUAUUUGGACUCUUCUACCCUUAGAAAAAAGUAAGAUUGCACCUUUUCGACCUCACAGAUCCGAACAGUGGUGCCCUGAUGAGUGCUCUGGUGAUUGUGUUCUGGGUGACACGGAACCCGUGGGGAAUUCCAGGAGAAAAUGCAUUGCGAUAAUAUUUACAAAAGAGGAAAAGGAGGAAGCUAGAUGGGAAUAUCUGAUAUAGGACUUCAGUGGUGCGGCAGCAGAGGCAGAGCGAUCCAUUUUGAAUCACAGGAGAUUAUCACCAGUAGCACUUAGAAAAUCUACAAUCUAAAUCAUUAGAUUUACAGAAGACCCAACGAUUGCCUUAGUGGAAGACACAUGAACGAUACCAAAUCUAGUUUGGAGUAGAAAAAAGUUUUGACACAGCCUGGCAGGAGUGCAGGAUAUGUAUAGGGACAGAGGGCAUCAGCCACACUCCUGGGACAAUCUGCAGAGGAGGGCACAGGUAACACUCCUCUGUUGGGUAAUGAUGAGAGAAGUGUAUCUCAAGAUAAGAUUUUGGAGCAGAGUGGCUUUAUUUUAAAAACAAGCCUGCUUUCACUCACACACUUGUACCCACGUAUUCACAAUCAGUACAGGUGUCCAUCAACCAGGAGCUGCUCAGGAUUCCUCGCAAUGACACAGUGGAAGGGACACGGCUAUGCACUCGUCACUGUGACUCCUGUGGCUCGUGGUCACUUUGGGACGUGUUCUGGGAAGGCUGGGGCUGACACCAGCUGCCCUCUUUCAUCUCCUCAUCCUGCCUUGUGCUGUAGGCCAUUGGAUCCAGCUCACUGCCCUUUCUCUCCUCCCUGAAUGCCCCACGGCUCCAUUCCAGCUCUUAUCUAUCAUCCUCCAUGGUCUCGGGCUUGUCUCAGCCUGACAAUAGGUUGUCCUUUGCUGUAGGCCAUCCUUUCUUUGCCUGAUCCACCCUGAAAAGCUACAUGUAGAUCUCAGCAGUUUGCGUGCCACUAAGAUGAGUGUGCCACUAAGCCAUGCUUGUCUUGUGCACCCUUUCUCCUGCCCCUGGUGCUUCCUAGCCAGCCACUCCCAUCCAAAACUUGUGUUUAUACACCUGUUUCAGAUCACUACCAAGUGGAGUUACCAGGAACACCUCUCUAACCCGCACGGCUAGGACAGCUGUGAGCUUUCCCUCCAGUCUUCCUGCCCAGUCACAGGUGUGUCAUUGCCAGCCCGAGCCCAGAUAUGCAUGGAUAAGUGUGAUGGGGGUGCUGCUGUAUCAGCUGUAGUGAUUUAGGGGCAGCAAUCACAGCUGUGAUCCCUUGCCAUCAAACUAUAGUGAACUUCACCCCGUGACCCUACGAGGGUCUCCUCAGGAGCCUGUGGAAGGUGACUGCACCAAGCUGGGCAGCUGACUGCAGAUCUGACUUCUUGAGGAUCCCCAUCUCCGCUGGAAAUUAAAACAAAAUAUGUUGAAAGACAUAGAACAAGAUAAUGCAAGAGACUUCCAGUGGUGCUGAAUGUGCUAUUCAUCACAAUCAAAAACUGCUGUGGAGUUUUUCAGUGCACGAUUGGAUGUCUGCAGCCUCAGCUCCGGAGGUAGAGAGGAGGAGCCCAGGAGCCAGUGGUAGUGGGCCCUGGGGGUAGGAAAGGAGCAUUCUGAUGGUGUUUGGUGGAGAUGUUGGCCAAGCCCCACACGGUACAACUGCUCACUGGUAACAUUGUACAGCUGGAAACAUGGCACCAGGUGAGCUGCCUGAAAGGCCAAAAUUAUGCCCUGUGGUGUGCUCAUGUUUGGUCAGAUGGCCUCCAUGCUACAUCCUUACAGCUGCAGUCAUCCCACUGGUGUGACCAGACCAGGCUUCCGUGGCACAACAUGAACAUCACGUCAGUAGUGGGAAGGCAUUGCCCAACAGCAGCUUGCAAGGCCUAAUGGCACCAUUAGACAAUGAGCCCUAAGGAAUCAGAGCCAAAGAGGUGGUGGAAAACCAUGUCUGAGCGUGUGCACCAUCUCCCUGCAGGCACAACAUAGCUGCAGAGGGCCUGGGGAGCACAAGGACAGGAAGGCCUCGUCACCCCCUCAGUAACAGAGUAUCCCUGAGUAGCUCUGGGCAGCACUAAGGUUUUUGUGUGCGCAUGCCCAUGGAUGGCUCAGGUUCCACCACGUCCUCUAUGGGUGCCCUCUGUGCUGCAUUCACACACCUUUGUGGCAGCAAAUCAUCAAUAUUUUUUUUUCCCCUUGCUGACUUGUCUUUUUGGAUAGAGCUUGCUUGCCCACAUGGGCAAGGUGUAUGUGGCCUUCCCCAGAGUGCAGCUCUGCCAAGGCCCCAUCUUGUGCCUCAGUUUCCCCACUUGUCCAACCAGGGAGCUGGGCCAUCUGCAGAGGAGCACUGGGAAGGUGGAAUGGUUAACACUUACUCCAUACUCUGGAGAUAGCGUUGUUUACAUCUAAUUACAUUUCAUGCCCUCACGUAAUAAAGUCAUCUUGGAUUAGAA